GAAUUAAUAGGGUAGUGGUAACCUGGGUCGUUGCCAUUGUGUUUGAAGAAUAUUUGACCCGCCGGGGGUUCGAUUCCCCCUUAAUGCA